rnacentral:rRNA from 1 species
CUGGCGGCGUGCCUAAUACAUGCAAGUCGAACGAACUCUGGUAUUGAUUGGUGCUUGCAUCAUGAUUUACAUUUGAGUGAGUGGCGAACUGGUGAGUAACACGUGGGAAACCUGCCCAGAAGCGGGGGAUAACACCUGGAAACAGAUGCUAAUACCGCAUAACAACUUGGACCGCAUGGUCCGAGUUUGAAAGAUGGCUUCGGCUAUCACUUUUGGAUGGUCCCGCGGCGUAUUAGCUAGAUGGUGGGGUAACGGCUCACCAUGGCAAUGAUACGUAGCCGACCUGAGAGGGUAAUCGGCCACAUUGGGACUGAGACACGGCCCAAACUCCUACGGGAGGCAGCAGUAGGGAAUCUUCCACAAUGGACGAAAGUCUGAUGGAGCAACGCCGCGUGAGUGAAGAAGGGUUUCGGCUCGUAAAACUCUGUUGUUAAAGAAGAACAUAUCUGAGAGUAACUGUUCAGGUAUUGACGGUAUUUAACCAGAAAGCCACGGCUAACUACGUGCCAGCAGCCGCGGUAAUACGUAGGUGGCAAGCGUUGUCCGGAUUUAUUGGGCGUAAAGCGAGCGCAGGCGGUUUUUUAAGUCUGAUGUGAAAGCCUUCGGCUCAACCGAAGAAGUGCAUCGGAAACUGGGAAACUUGAGUGCAGAAGAGGACAGUGGAACUCCAUGUGUAGCGGUGAAAUGCGUAGAUAUAUGGAAGAACACCAGUGGCGAAGGCGGCUGUCUGGUCUGUAACUGACGCUGAGGCUCGAAAGUAUGGGUAGCAAACAGGAUUAGAUACCCUGGUAGUCCAUACCGUAAACGAUGAAUGCUAAGUGUUGGAGGGUUUCCGCCCUUCAGUGCUGCAGCUAACGCAUUAAGCAUUCCGCCUGGGGAGUACGGCCGCAAGGCUGAAACUCAAAGGAAUUGACGGGGGCCCGCACAAGCGGUGGAGCAUGUGGUUUAAUUCGAAGCUACGCGAAGAACCUUACCAGGUCUUGACAUACUAUGCAAAUCUAAGAGAUUAGACGUUCCCUUCGGGGACAUGGAUACAGGUGGUGCAUGGUUGUCGUCAGCUCGUGUCGUGAGAUGUUGGGUUAAGUCCCGCAACGAGCGCAACCCUUAUUAUCAGUUGCCAGCAUUAAGUUGGGCACUCUGGUGAGACUGCCGGUGACAAACCGGAGGAAGGUGGGGAUGACGUCAAAUCAUCAUGCCCCUUAUGACCUGGGCUACACACGUGCUACAAUGGAUGGUACAACGAGUUGCGAACUCGCGAGAGUAAGCUAAUCUCUUAAAGCCAUUCUCAGUUCGGAUUGUAGGCUGCAACUCGCCUACAUGAAGUCGGAAUCGCUAGUAAUCGCGGAUCAGCAUGCCGCGGUGAAUACGUUCCCGGGCCUUGUACACACCGCCCGUCACACCAUGAGAGUUUGUAACACCCAAAGUCGGUGGGGUAACCUUUUAGGAACCAGCCGCCUAAGGUGGACAGAUGAUUAG